GACCACUCCCCUCAUUAACUAACUAACCGCGGUACAAUUGCAUCCAUAUUGCAUCCUCCACAAUAAGGCCUUGCUGAGAUUAUGUCGGUAUUGCCGGUACUUACACACCAUCCGUAAUGUUCAGAUGUUUGGCGGCUGGAUGAGUGCUAAUCACGUGGUCUAUAAGCUUGCCCGUAGCUGAUUGCCCGCCUUCCAGAAGCCACAGACCCGGCACCAUGGCACCGUAGUACGGUCCCCAGACGCCAUCCACGAACACUUCUUCGUCGCUGAGCAACAUGUGACAAGUCGACGUACCUCCAAUCAUCACUACAGAGUCAUCAGCAUAAACAUAGACGUUACCUGUUUAGAAUUUUAUUAUGGAGCAUUGGAGUAGCCAGUACGAUCGUAUACAUGUAUUAGGUAAGUAUAUGUAUUUUUAUGGUAUAACACGGUGUCAAUUAUUUAUUACGCGGUAAAAAGAAAUGUGUAU